AUUGAACGCUGGCGGCAGGCUUAACACAUGCAAGUCGAACGUGUGGCGGAGGUGAGAGAAAUGCUUGGGAAUCUAGCCUAUGGAGGGGGAUAACUAUGGGAAAGUGUACCUAAUACGGAGUAGCAUAGGAUGAGCCCAAGUGGGAUUCGGUAGUGGGUGAGGUAAAGGCUCACAAGGCCGACGAUCUCUAGCUGGUCUGAGAGGAUGACCAGCCACACUGGGACUGAGACACGCCCCAGACUCCUACGGGAGGCAGCAGUGGGGAAUAUUGCGCAAUGGGGGCAACCUGACGCAGCCAUGCCGCGUGAAUGAAGAAGGCCUUCGGGUUGUAAAGUUCUUUCGGUAGCGAGGCGUUAACUACAGAAGAAGCACCGGCUAACUCCGUGCCAGCCGCCGCGGUAAUUC
rnacentral:rRNA from 1 species